AGUGAACGCUGGCGGCAGGCCUAACACAUGCAAGUCGAGCGGCAGCGCGUCCGACCACCCUCGGGUGGUCGGAUGGCGGCGAGCGGCGGACGGGUGAGGAAUGCAUCGGAAUCUGCCUCGUUGUGGGGGAUAACGUAGGGAAACUUACGCUAAUACCGCAUACGACCUACGGGUGAAAGUGGGGGACCUUCGGGCCUCACGCGAUGAGAUGAGCCGAUGCCGGAUUAGCUAGUUGGCGGGGUAAAGGCCCACCAAGGCGACGAUCCGUAGCUGGUCUGAGAGGAUGAUCAGCCACACUGGAACUGAGACACGGUCCAGACUCCUACGGGAGGCAGCAAUGGGGAAUAUUGGACAAUGGGGGCAACCCUGAUCCAGCCAUGCCGCGUGUGUGAAGAAGGCCUCGGUUGUAAGCACUUUGUUGGG
rnacentral:rRNA from 1 species